rnacentral:rRNA from 1 species
GACGAACGCUGGCGGCGUGCUUAACACAUGCAAGUCGAACGGAAAGGCCCUGCUUUUGUGGGGUGCUCGAGUGGCGAACGGGUGAGUAACACGUGAGUAACCUGCCCUCGACUUUGGGAUAACUUCAGGAAACUGGGGCUAAUACCGGAUAGGAGCUCCUGCUGCAUGGUGGGGGUUGGAAAGUUUCGGCGGUUGGGGAUGGACUCGCGGCUUAUCAGCCUGUUGGUGGGGUAGUGGCUUACCAAGGCCUUGACGGGUAGCCGGCCUGAGAGGGUGACCGGCCACAUUGGGACUGAGAUACGGCCCAGACUCCUACGGGAGGCAGCAGUGGGGAAUAUUGCACAAUGGGCGGAAGCCUGAUGCAGCAACGCCGCGUGCGGGAUGACGGCCUUCGGGUUGUAAACCGCUUUCGCCUGUGACGAAGCGUGAGUGACGGUAAUGGGUAAAGAAGCACCGGCUAACUACGU